rnacentral:rRNA from 1 species
UACGUAGGGGGCAAGCGUUGUCCGGAUUUACUGGGCGUAAAGAGCGUGUAGGCGGCCACGCAGGUCCGUUGUGAAAACUGGAGGCUCAACCUCCAGCUGUCGACGGAAACCGUGUGGCUAGAGUCCGGAAGAGGAGAGUGGAAUUCCUGGUGUAGCGGUGAAAUGCGCAGAUAUCAGGAAGAACACCAAUGGCGAAGGCAGCUCUCUGGGACGGUACUGACGCUGAGACGCGAAAAGCGUGGGGAGCAAACGGGG